rnacentral:rRNA from 1 species
AUAAUUAAUAUCUUACUUUAUUUUUUUUUAUAAUUUUAUGAGAAAUAUCUUUAUUUUUAGUAUAUUAAUGAAAAAUAAUUUUUAGUUAUAGUUAAUAAGUACUGUGAUGGAAUUGAUGAAAUAAUUAAAAAUAAAAUUUUUUUUAAGUAUGUUUAAUUUACAGUACCUUUUGUAUCAGGGUUAAUUAAAAUAUAUAAUUUAUUUUAUGUUCUCGAUUUCAAAAGAGCUAAAUUUUUAUUUUGGUUAGUGUUGCAAUAUUAUUAAAAAUAAAUUUUAGUGGAGAAAUUUUAUUCGUUUUUGAGGGUAUCUAGUUUUUUAAGAAUUAAAUUUAAUUUAAUUUUAUUAUUUAACUGUUAUAUUUUUUAUAGGUUAUUUAAUAAAUUAAAAAUUAUAGGGGAUAAGCUCUAUAUUGUACUAAAAAUGAUUUAUUAAUAAAUUUAUGUAGGUUUAAGAAUAUCCAUCAUUAUUAAGUGUGUUAUAAUUUAUUUAUAUUAUUAAUUAAUUUUUGUUUAUUUUAGUAAAUUAUUAAAAUUCUAUAAUCAACUUAUUAUUUUAGGAAAUAAUGAUUAAAUUAGUAUAAUAACAUGUAUAAUUAAUUAUAUUAUUAAUGAUAAAAUAAGGAAUUCGGCAAAUAUAAUUCCCGCCUGUUUAACAAAAACAUGUCCUUUUGAAAUUUAAUAGAAGGUCUGGCCUGCCCAGUGAUGAUUUUAACGGCCGCGGUAUACUGACCGUGCAAAGGUAGCAUAAUCAUUAGUCUUUUAAUAGAGGGCUGGAAUGAAAGGUUUAACGAGGAAUUGACUGUCUCAUUUUAUUUGUUUUAAAAUUUAAUUUUUUAGUUAAAAAGCUGAAAUUUGAUUGGAAGACGAGAAGACCCUAUAGAGCUUUAUAUAUUUUUAUUUUAUUAAUAUUAUAUUAUAAUGGUAUAAUGAAAAUUUAUUUUGUUGGGGUGACAAAAAUAUAAAUAUAACUUUUUUAUUUAUUUAUCAUUGAUUUAUGUGUAUUAGAUCCAUUAUUAUUGAUUUUUAGAUUAAGUUACCUUAGGGAUAACAGCGUAAUCCCCCUCCAGAGUUCAUAUUUACAGGGUGGGCUUGCGACCUCGAUGUUGGAUUAAGAUUAUAAUUAGGUGUAGCUGCUUAAUUUAUGGGUCUGUUCGACCUUUAACC